rnacentral:tRNA from 1 species
GGCCCCGUCGUCNAGAGGCCUAGGACGCUGCCCUCUCAAGGCAGAAACGCCGGUUCAAAUCCGGUCGGGGCUGCUA